AUCAUGCAGUGGCACUAUUGUAGCCUGUGAGGUUGAACUGAGGCAUGAUCAUUGCUGGUUGAAAACUUUUCUCUUGAAAUGGUUUGCAGUGAUCCUCCAUCUUUUGCUGUGGAAGCCACCAGAACCACAGAGCACUGAAUAUUUGAUGAGUUAGUAAAGC
rnacentral:snRNA from 1 species